GGGGACGUAGAUCAAUCGGUUAGAUCGUCGCCCUGUCACGGCGAAGGUUGCGGGUUCGAGCCCCGUCGUCCCCGCCA
rnacentral:tRNA from 1 species